rnacentral:rRNA from 1 species
GAUGAACGCUAGCGGCAGGCUUAACACAUGCAAGUCGAGGGGUAACAGGGUGCUUGCACCGCUGACGACCGGCGCACGGGUGCGUAACGCGUAUAGAACCUACCUUUUACAGGGGAAUAGCCCAGAGAAAUUUGGAUUAAUGCCCCAUAGUAUUACAGAAUGGCAUCAUUUUAUAAUUAAACAUUUAUGGGUAAAAGAUGGCUAUGCGUUCUAUUAGCUAGGUGGUAAGGUAACGGCUUACCAUGGCAACGAUAGAUAGGGGUCCUGAGAGGGAGAUCCCCCACACUGGUACUGAGACACGGACCAGACUCCUACGGGAGGCAGCAGUGAGGAAUAUUGGACAAUGGAGGCAACUCUGAUCCAGCCAUGCCGCGUGCAGGAAGACGGUCCUAUGGAUUGUAAACUGCUUUUAUACAGGAAGAAACAGUCCCUCGUGAGGGAUCU